rnacentral:sRNA from 1 species
UUAUCUAAAGCAGAAUGUGUGCCUGAAC